UACGGAGGGUGCGAGCGUUGUCCGGAAUCACUGGGCGUAAAGGGCGCGUAGGCGGCGCGGUAAGCGUGCGGUGAAAGCCCGGGGCUCAACCCCGGGUCGGCCGUGCGAACUCCCGGGCUCGAGCACUGUAGGGGCAGGCGGAAUUCCGGGUGUAGCGGUGGAAUGCGUAGAGAUCCGGAGGAAGACCGGUGGCGAAGGCGGUCUGCUGGGCAGUUUCUGACACUGAGGCGCGACAGCGUGGGGAGCAAACAGG
rnacentral:rRNA from 1 species